UGGGGAACUGUUUUGUCUCCAAGAAAAUAAAAAUCUAGCUUAUGAUAUACAACUUUAAACCUCUAAUUGCUAAGGUCGGGUAUUCGCCUUGCCUGUGUAGAAGUCAAGCAACAAAACGACAUUGGCACAUUUAAAUUUAUGACAUAUUCAUCAAACUUUUUUUUCCAAAAGUUAAACAUCCAUUUUCGAAGCACAAAUAUAUGUUUACUGUUGAGGUUUUUUCCAAGGAAGUUGAUCAUCAAGAACGUCUUUUCAUAUAGAAGAGCUUGAGCUAAUACAUCCAUUCAUGUUUACAACUGCCAAGUUGUUACAUAGAAAGUUUGUGAUGAGGCUUCAUAUAAAUUUUAUGCAAAUGAUAAGGCAAAACAUUAGUUAUUCAUCGAUAGAGAUUCUAAAUUGAGAGUUUUAUAAAGUUGAGAGUUUCUUAAAAAUGUG